GGCCUCCCUCGCGUGGCUGCUCAGUAUUGUUUGCGCUCAGCCAGGGUGACCUGACGCCCGCUUUGGAAAACUGCUGAACAGCGGGCGGGCGCAGUGGUUUCUUGCAAGGUCCCAGGCAGAGCGGAAUGCAUACACCAGGAAGCCAGCAGGCCUGUCCGGAGAGGCACGGCUCACAGCCUCCGGACUGGAGAGAGCCCAGUUGCUGGGCUUCCGAGCCUUCCUCCCCUGCCCACGACUAAGGAAUGAGCCCUUCUCUGCGCCUGGCCCUGCUGCACGGAGCCGCAGAGCUGAAAGUGAAAGGUGAGGGCCCCCUUUCCCACGGCCAGAAGAGGGGCGUGGGUGCCGCGGGACUCCCCGGCGGCGGCGGCGGCGGCGGCGGCGGGAGCGCAGUCUGCGAGAGCCCUGGGACCUGGAAGGAGAAGCUGAUGUCGUCUCCGCCUGGCCCUGACCCCUCCAGCGAGUGAGUGACUCCUUCCUCCGGAGCCGACCCUUCACCAGAGAACAGGCUCAGGAUGCCCUGGCCCUGUCUGUGCAGCAGGGACCAUUGCCCUUGGAUACUGCUGACCCCUAGGGACUGCCCAGUGCCUCACAUACAGUAGGUGCUCUUGACAUGUGUCACGUGGGUGACUAAAUGGCAGACCGUGCUUUCUACCCUCAUGGGUUGUGAGGGUUACUGUCGGUGACAGUAUCUUCACAGGCUGUAUCCUCCAAGCUUGCUUUGACUUCUCUUUCUUGUGUUGAGAGCCUUAUGUCCACAGGAGAAGAGCUCCAAGGCUCUAGGUUUCCCUCCCACCUCAGGACCUUUGUACAUACCACGCUCUCUGCCCAGAAUGCUUUUCCCCAGCUUGUCUGCAUUCUCCCCCUCAGGUUUCAAUGUCAGUGAGAAUGAAAUGGCUUUCUGAAGGAGCCCCUCCACUGUGUUUCUCUCCUCUGCAGCAGUUUCCAUAGUGGGCUUGGUUUGGUGACUGGUUCUGGUGACCUUUCUCUGCCCGGAACACCAGCCCCACAGGGCGGGGACUUGCCUGUUUGCUCACCCCGGCAUUCCUAGUGCGCUGGCACACAGUAGGUGCUCAGUGAGGAGAGAGGGCUGGUGACUGAAUGUGUGCGCAAGAGCUGCUGGGCAGGGUCAUGCAAGGAGCAGCGGCCCCUGAGGGUCUCGGUCUCCCCUUCAGCCUUGUCACUGUCCCCAGGAGCCCCGAGGCUCCUACUUGGGGCCACACCCUCAGCUCCCAAUCUGAGUGAUGUGCCCGUGACAGCAGGUAGCAACGGGGACAGUCCAGAGAGGGUGCUGGUUUGCCCAGCAUCACACAGCAGGUGCUCAACUGAGCAGGGGUCUAGCUGGGCUGGGAAGAACUGGCCAAGUGGCUGUGGGCGGAAAGGAGACUGCAACAGCUCAAGCUGGGACGUGGCCACCUCUUGUGCUUCUCUGAGCCUCACAUGGCAUCUGUGGAUUCCCCUGCCCUGGCAGCCAUGAACCCGUGCCAGACCCACACCAGGACGGUGCAGACGAAGCACGGAAAAGAAGGCGCUCUAGACCACAGCUCGAGGCUACGUCAGGAGCCAGCAAGCUGCGCUCUGCCUCCAGCCACCCGGCCUGGGCCAGGAGGCCGACUGUUACUGAUGUGGAGACAGACAGGGAUGCUCCUGGCUGCCCAUCAGGGCCUUGGCAGACGAGGGAGCAGAGCCUGGAGAAGCCCAGAGUCCUGGCCAUGGGACACAGGACCCCGAGGGGGCCCUGGAGACCGUUGCUCUCGCUGGGCUGCAGAGAGCUGCAGGUGGGGUCCCUGCUGCAGGUGUCCUGGCAGCUGGGGCGCUUGCUGGGGCCCUGCCCGGCCUGGGGAAUGUUCUCAGAUGGUGUAGCAGUUCCAGGUUUACUCAGAGCUCUCUUCUGAGCUGUCAUGAAAAGUCCCUUUGGCCUGGGGCCCGGGCAGGCUGGGGCGGUGGGGCCUGUGAGCCUUGGGGGGGGGCGAGGGUCCUCCCAGCUCCCUCCCCAACUCAGCGGGGCCUGGAGAAGCAGGGGAGAGAGGGGCAGGGGGCAAGAAGACCCUCGUCUUGGGGCUCUCUUUUCUUCCCUUCACAAUGGCCUCCUGGGUGACCCUAGAAAAUGCCCCUCCCUCCCCAGCACUCAGUUUCCCUGUCUGUCAAAGGGGUGUAGAAUCACCCUAAAUCAGAUCCAUCAUUAGGUGAGGACUCAGUACAUGCUGGUGUUCCAGCCAGUGACAAGACUAUUAUCACCAAAAAUAAAGUAAAACCUAAC
ensembl:lncRNA